CCUCCGUUCUUCCGCCGUUCUUACUAUUUUUCCCUUUCCUCGCUUCUGCCCCCGCCCCGUCGCGUGAAGGAUGACUGCCCUAUGAGUUGUAAGCUUCUUUUAUAUGGGAAUAAAAUGUUCCACGUGUGGGAUUUUGUAUGUACCAUAUGCAUAAGGAUCGGCUAACUCCGUGCCAGAAGCAGCGGUAAUACGGAGGAUCCGAGCGUUAUCCGGAUUUAUUGGGUUUAAAGGGAGCGUAGGUGGAUUGGUAAGGCAUUUGGGAAAGUUUGCGGCUCAACCGUAAGAUUGCAGUUGAAACUGGCAGUCUAGAGUACAGGAGAGGUGGGCGGAAUUCGUUGUGUAGCGGUGAAAUGCUUAGAUAUCACGAAGAACUCCGAUGGCGAAGGCAGUUCACUGGACUGCAACUGACACUGAGGCUCGAAAGUGUGGGUAUCAAACAGGAUUAGAUACCCGGGUAGUC
rnacentral:rRNA from 1 species